UCUGGCUGGGGUGGGAGGUUGCAAAGAGGGAGGAUUAUUGUUUAAACGGGACCUGGUUUGUAGCCUUAAGUCAGAAGAGAGCCAUUCUGUUUGCGUUCAACAUUUCAAAGAAAAGUAACAAUGCUCUCGGAGAGCCCCUCUCUACAAGGCAGCUCAUUAUUGUAAAUGUGGGACAUGUUUAGACUGCUAAGGAGAAUCAUAAAAGUACAGCCGCCACCACAAGCUCCUCCAGCAGCAAACACUGUCCUCAGGCCAGAUCCAUUUCUGGGCAGCUCAGGAGCCUGCAGCCUGAGUGGCAAGCUCACCCGAUGAGACCCAAACGGAGCAAGUGGAGUUACAGAGUCUAAGUGUGCGCGGGGCACAUUAUCGGCAAGGUCUUUUAUGUUAAGGAAAUCAUGACACCUGCCAAUCUUUCAAAUUCCAAAGGGUAAAGCAUGAGGCCCGGAAGGCUGUCAUUGAACAUGACAGGCUUAAUGCCAAGUUUAUAACAGAGAAAGGGCAAUCUUAUUGUGGUUUAUUCAGUUUUCUGUUGCUGCUUCAGGAGGAAGUCUCGCCGUCUCUCUUCCGCACUCUCUCUCUUUGUAAAAGCUAAUUUAGAGCAUUUGAAAUACCAAACGGAUUCUUUACAUAUCUCCUGAGCCCCACUCCUCUUCACUACCCCCGGUCUCUCCUUUAGGGAGCAACCCCUAAAUCCUUCCAAUUUAGCAUCAUGGUGAGACCAGCCUGUUUUCAGUUGAGCGUCUCCUGCCAUUGUGACAGAGAUGUUUCUACCAGCGAACGUUUCUGUUUAAUUACUGCGCACACUGUUGCUCCAUUUCCGUCCAACCUGCCCCUCGCCUGAGCCCAUUGGGCUGAAGAAAGAAUUACUCCCCGCGCUGUUCCUUAGCCUUUCUUCUUCAGAUCUGUAAUUGGCCCUGUGUUUUUGACUUUUUGCUAAUAAGCAGCUUACUUUCUCUCCCCCUAGACUCAACCCACCACUUUUGUUUCAUGAAUUUUACAAAGGAUUUUAAUAGAUGCUUUAGGCUAUGCAAAAUGUUAUAUGAAGGGAAGGCAUUAAUGCAACAGCCUUGACACAAAGGACGUGUGGAUCGCUGCUUAUCAUUAUGGUCAGGUCUCAAAAUUUUCAUUAGUUCUGGAGGACAAAAGAAAAAAAAAAACCAGCCCUGCUGUAUGAAGGAAUAUUAACCUGUAUUGUGUAACCAACUAUAAUUGCUUAGCAUUUUACAUUAACUCUCUUCAGACAUGGCCUCUCAUUAUCUUUACACAUACAUAAUAACUGCUUAUUACAGCGGGAUACUUCAUGCCGAUACAUGGUGGGUAGGGCUGUGUCAGCACUUCUAACGGGAGACCCACGUCCAUGGAUUUAAAAGAGCUGUAAAAUUUACCUCCAGACUAAAGACUGGUAAUCAACUUUUCACCUGGAGAGGGAAUUUUUUGUUUCAAGUAAAAUAAAACAACAACAACAACAAAAAAAAAAAAAAACACUUUUGUUGAGGGAAAAGAGUUGGGUUCGUUUAAAUUAGGAAUGUAAACAAAAACGGAUGAAUGUGCUUAAGUCACUAGUGAGUUCCUGAAGCAGAGAAUUAUUGAAACCUACUAUGAAAUAUGUUUUUGAUGAUUAAAUAUAAAUAGACGAAUGUUAAGUAGCAUUGGAAUUAAAUGCUACGUGUAUAAUGGGCUUUAUGGAAAUGACCACAUGCUCCAGGAAGGCCUUUGUAUGCAGUGGUAGAAGAACACAACACAUAUUUUCAAGAUGUAGAACCCAUAAUUUUCAUUGGGAAAUAAAUUAAAAUGCUUAUAAAUGUUGAAUGUUCGAGUUUGUGAAAAGUCAUCCAACUAUAUAAAAACAUCUGGGCUUUUUAGAAUUAUUUCAAAAUUCUCUUUUCGGAAAGUCUGAGCAACUGUUGUUGACUCAGGAAAGGGUAAGAAUUCGGCAGCACUGAUAUCACCAACUGCUUGAAUGGGGACUUUGAAAAAUAGUUGGUCAGGUUGACAUAUUUUUUUUUUAAAUGAGCCUGCUGCAAAGGCUUGGGUUUCUGGUAGAAGUAUCCCCAGGAUGAAAUUUAUUAUUUCCACUGGCUUUAUAAAAUAUCCCAAAGUUUUCUCAGUAAUCAAGAUCUAAGACUAUUUUUAAAAUCAUGCUGAAAUGAUAGGCAUGAGAUAUGUAGAUACAUUUACACUUUGUCCCAUAGCAUCCUCAGUUUGUCUGUCCUCAGAUAGAAUACAUUUGUCUGUAUUGGACAAGGCAGCUACAAUAAUAGAAUGUCGUGUCUUAAAGCUACCAGACAAUGUCACCCCACGGACGAAUGAGAACUUGCAUGGACAUUCUCUGUUGGGUUGAAAGAAAUCUCAGAAAAAAAUAUUUUGAAAAUGAUUCCAAACCAGGUGGUUCUAUAACAGAAAUUAGAGCUAUUAUCUUUAAGUUCAUUGUGUUUAUGAACAAUUCAUCCAACAUGAGUGGCAGAAGCAGAGUUUGUGUCCUUAAUGUCCAUUAACCAUCUAAUCAUGUCAUCUGCUUCUCUCUUUACUUCGAAAGCCAACACCAAUCUUAGCUCCAUUUCUUAGACUGGAAACAUUACCCAAGAAACAUGCCAAGAAAAUUUUUUAAAAGAUACUCAUUUAAAAGUGCUAGGCCACUUGGACUAUCACGAGAUUUUCCUACUGUGUCUAGAAGUGACAGCUUACAGAAGUGGGAACAUGGACUGAAAGUGACUCUUGGCACAAAUGCAUUAAUGUGUCUUGGUGGUAGUGCGUAAGAAGUAUCAGCCUUGUCCCUAAACUGAUGGAGUGAAGGGUUCCUGGCUGACAAUGACUGUCCUGUGAUGGAAAAAGCUACCACUUGUUAGUGUAGUUCCAGUAAACAGCACGCUGGCCUCACAUGCUAAUUAGCUGUGGCCCAGCUCGCCUGGGCUGUGCAGAGGCACUCUCAUCAGAGAUGAUUGUCAUCAGGUAUCACAGAUGCCUCUCCUGUGGCUCAGCCCAGGCGGGUGCCUGGUGGGGCUUAGAGAAGAAGAGGCAGGAAGCUGUGCAGAGAGAGCCCCGGGUCUCCGGUGCCUCAGCUGCUGGCUGCAAGCAGCUCAUCAUUUCUGCCUGCAGAAAGAAAGAAACAGGGUGAGGCAAGAGGGGUAUCCUACCUGUCGAGCAUUCCAGGAGGCAGUGAUGCAAUCAGCUUGAAGGGAGAGGCUUCAGAGCAAAAACCCUGCAACUAAAGCUACUUGGGGGCUUUCUCCCGCCCCCCCAACCUGGGAUUCUUGGAGAUGACAAAUGCUAAUUCUUUCAAUUCGUUACAUAUUUUUGAAUGGAUGUCUGAGUGGGAUAAAGGAACAGGCCUAAAGAUUUACAAGCUGCAAUCAAGGAUGUGGUGAAGAAAAUAACGCCUCGUGCCAAGAGGUGUGACUGGAGCCCUAAAGCUCAGAUCAAACCGCUUUUCUAGGACCACAUUCCUGAUACUUCGAACAGAAGAAGAAAAUGCUACUUCCUGUGUGCUCCCAGAAUCACAUUUAAAAAUAUUUUUUUAUGUUCGUGUGUCUUGCCUGAAGAUGGAGGAAGAAACGAGGCUCAGGGGCCAGGAUAGGAGUCCAAGAAUCGCUGUUGUGUAUCAGUCACACUGCCUGCACUGUUGACAGGCAUGGUCUCGGGGCUUUUCUACUUUGCAAUUUAGGCCAAAGUAGACUUGGAAAAGAGUGUGAAGAGCAUCCCCACUACUUUAUGGUUAAAACCAAAUGGAGGUUUUCACCAAAACUUGACUAGCCUGUUACCUUGGCUAAUUAUGGUGCCAACUGUGCUGAGGUUUCUGCUUCUUCUUGCUCCUCAGCCUUUGGGCUGCCAUGAAUUCCUUACCUAUGACUGGCCACCUUGUAACAUGCAGGUCCCCAUUCAUGAGUGAGGCACAGGAAAGAGUUGAGCUUGAGAUGGCAUUUAGAAUGCUGGCCAGAAAACUUGGUUUGCAAAUAAACAUUUUCACAACCCA